AACUUUACCCUCCGGGUUUAACGCUGUGAGCCCGCGCGCGGAGGAGCUGGGGAUAAGCGCCCCAGAACCCCCAAACCGAGCGCGUCCGCCGAAGGACUGCGCGCGGCGCCGGGUGCGGGCGGGGCUGGCUUUUCUGUCGGAGGACGCCGGCCAGCACGCCGCGCCUUUAAGGAGUCCAUCCAGACCGGGCGCCGGAGCUAGGAGCCGCGCGGGUAGAGCGCGGCGGCGGGGCCGAGCCCGGGGCUAGGGACCGAGGGCCGGGGUCCGGGUCCGGCGGCGGAACUUAGGCGGCUGAGGCCGGUCAGGUGUCAGCCAGCCUGAAAGAGCAGGAUGGAUCUCGAUGUGGUUAACAUGUUUGUGAUUGCGGGUGGGACACUGGCCAUCCCAAUCCUGGCCUUCGUAGCCUCAUUUCUCCUGUGGCCUUCAGCACUGAUAAGAAUCUAUUAUUGGUACUGGCGGAGGACAUUGGGCAUGCAAGUCCGCUAUGUUCACCAUGAAGACUAUCAGUUCUGUUAUUCCUUCCGGGGCAGGCCUGGCCACAAACCCUCCAUCCUCAUGCUCCACGGAUUCUCUGCACACAAGGAUAUGUGGCUCAGUGUGGUCAAGUUCCUUCCAAAGAACCUGCACUUGAUCUGCGUGGACAUGCCAGGACAUGAGGGCACUACCCGCUCCUCCCUGGAUGACCUGUCCAUAGAUGGGCAAGUCAAGAGGAUACACCAGUUUGUAGAAUGCCUCAAGCUGAACAAAAAACCUUUCCACCUGAUAGGCACCUCCAUGGGCGGCCACGUGGCUGGGGUGUAUGCUGCUUACUACCCAUCAGAUGUCUCCAGCCUGUGUCUUGUGUGUCCUGCUGGCCUGCAGUACUCAACUGAUAAUCAGUUCAUACAACGGCUCAAAGAACUGCAGGACUCUGCCGCCGUGGAGAAGAUUCCCUUGAUUCCAUCUACCCCAGAAGAGAUGAGCGAAAUGCUUCAGCUCUGCUCCUAUGUCCGCUUCAAGGUGCCCCAGCAGAUCCUGCAAGGCCUUGUUGACGUCCGCAUCCCUCAUAACAACUUCUACCGAAAGCUGUUUUUGGAAAUCGUCAGUGAGAAGUCCAGAUACUCUCUCCAUCAGAACAUGGACAAGAUCAAGGUCCCAACGCAGAUCAUCUGGGGAAAACAAGACCAGGUGCUGGAUGUGUCUGGGGCAGACAUGUUGGCCAAGUCAAUUGCCAAUUGCCAGGUUGAGCUUCUGGAAAACUGUGGGCACUCGGUAGUGAUGGAGAGACCCAGGAAGACAGCCAAGCUCAUCGUCGACUUUUUAGCUUCCGUGCACAACACAGACAACAACAAGAAGCUGGACUGAGGCCCUGACUCCAGCCUGUAUUCGGCACACAGCACCUGCUCCCAUCCCCCAAAUCUGACGCAGCCACCACUCUCAGGGAUCCUGCCCCAAAUGCGGUCGGAGCGCCAGUGACCCUGAGGAAGCCAGUCCCUUAUCCCUGGUAUCCACGGUUCCCCAGAGCUUUGGGGACCGUGAGAAAACCUCCAAGAUCUUUUUCACAAAAUAGAAGAAACUCAUAUGGAACAAAAGAAGAAACCCCAGCCAUGAAAUCUACCAUGAAGUCUUCAAGUUCAUGUUAUUGACAAGCUGUACAAAGUAGCCACUUGGACCAUAAUCAAAUCGAGGACAUUUUCUUUGCGAUAUUCCUUAUAGAUGGAGACCCAAGAUAUUUUUGUUGCUUCAGGCGUAUUCCCUUGCAUGGGCAGUGGCUUUUAUAGGAGCGUUAGUCCUCAUUCGCUGAACCCUGUCAUUUAGGUUGAAUUUAAGUUUUACAUAGAGACCCAUGUAUGACUGCAGCCCAUUGGCUGCAAGACCCGGGAGGAAAGUGGCAAGUGGAAGAAAAUGUUUACAUGCACGGUGGGGCAUUGUUCCAGCCCUCGGAGCAGCCGGAGCAGCAGAGUACAUGGGUGCGUGGUUCAUUCAGCACCCAUGAAGUCAGAUAUGUUUGGAGUGAACCCACAACAGUCACAGAAUGAACACCUAGCAGGAAAAUCUGCAGCCAAGUCAUUCUGGGAAUAAAGUGAGAUAGAGUUAUAGUUUAAAUUGGAAUUCUGGACAGUGUUUGAAUAUUUUAGUUUACCAGAAAAGAAUGGAACUUAGAGCUUAAAAACAAGAAGAAGAUAUGAAGAUGUGACAUCAAGCUGGGAUGCAGCUAAAGCAGUGCUCAGAGAGAAAUUUAUAGACUUCAAUAUGCAUAUUGUAAGAGAAGAAGCUAGGUGGAGUGGCUCACACCUGUAGUUCCAACACCUUGGAAAGCCAAGGCAGGAAGAUUGCUUGAGCCCAGGAGUUUGAGACCAGCCUAGGCAACAUGGCAAGACCCCAUCUCUUAAAAAAAUAAAAAAAGAAAAAUCAAUAAAUUAAGCAUCUAUCUCAAGAAACAAGAAAAGAAAUAAUAGCAAAGCCAUAGAAAAAUAGAGGGAAGUAAUACAGAUGAAAACAAAAAUCAAUGAAGUAGAAAGGAAAGUAGAUAUUAGACAUUUUA